rnacentral:lncRNA from 1 species
AUAUUAAAGAAACAUUUACGACACAUUUAGGGGAUGAUUGGUACUUGAUGUCCAUAGUCAUAUUUAUUUUUACAGCACCAAAUUCAGAGCAAUGAAGCUUUAAAUUUUUUUUUGAAACCACAGCUCUUAAAAUAAACUACAGCUGUACAAGUGCUCUGCAGAACCAAAUAUCCAAAGCAAUUUUUUAGUGCUUUCCAUAAAAUUUUACAGCAAUAAAAUUUAAAACCACAUCAAAAAAUUUACAAAUUUUAUUUUACAGUAAAAAAUUUUAAAGCUACAGCCUUUACCAAUCGAACCCUUACGCUUAUUAAUUACACCAUGGGUCACUUUCUUCUACCAACGCACUUUUUCGUAACUUUUUCUUCAAUUUCAUUAAACAAAACCAUGUGAUGGUCUCUUCUUCUUUAUCAUUUAAAAGACAAACGUGUUUCCAAUUUUCACUUUAUAUAUCUCCCUCUCUUCAUCUAUAGUAUUAUUUUUUAGUCGCCUAAAACCGGAACCAAAGUGAAUCUUCUACAGCUGCCUCCAAUUACCGAGUUGACUCAGUUAAAAGAAAUCAAAUUAAUGCAGAUAGGAACUCGAUUGUGAGGAAACAGAUUAUUUGUAUUUUAAAAUUUAAUUUCAACUCUCUCCUCUC